UUGAAUCUUAAAAAGUUAAAAAACAAUUGUUCACUGUUAUUUUUUUAUUUUUUAAAGCAGUAACUUUUAAGAAACAAUGAAUUACAUUUUCAAUUUUUUAAGGUGAAACUUCUUUACGGGGUCAAGCCUUUUGACGAUAGUUGCGAGCAAGAUUACUGCCAGGGAAACUAGUUUUUUGCAUUUUAUUCUAUUUUUUAUCUACACAUAACAAACCAUAGAAACGUGUGUGUUGUGAUGGAUUUUUUCGUAAGGAAGUUUUAUUUAAUCUGUUUGAACUCACAAUACGUAGAUUUCUUAAGUUAUCAAUACUAUAUAGGUUAUAACAGAGGUCUCCAAACUUUAUUUACCGUGGAAAAAAUAGGAUAUCGGUAUCACAGACCGAAUGUUUUAUAUUGGGAUACGGGCUAAUGAAAUUAAAGAUGUUUAUAAGAAUUCUUUUUAUUCGUUAAUAUAUUAAUGAAAGGUUGCAUAAAAAAUUGUAUUAAUUAAAUGAUUCCAAAAAAUGUAAUGGGCCAACCACGGGCUCAAUUUAUAUUUAUCAAAUGUUUAAUUAGUCAGUGUUCAAGCAACUUUGCAUAAAUAUAUUUAAAAACAACAUCAAUGAGCUUGGCAUGCCGGUUAAAAAAGUUUGGUGUGCACCUGGGCCUUAUAGGCUGGAGAUCUUUGGGUUAUAGAUUAAUUUAACACCACAUCGAUAAACUAAUGGCGGGUAACGUUCAUAAAUCAAAGAAUUCACAUUUUCAAUUUAUAACAAUUAUAAAUAUUGUACAAUUUAUGUGGAUAUUUUUCUAAAGAAAGAUAAAACAUUUUCGUCAUUCCGUUUAAAUAUAGUAUUUGUAUAGAUCACUUCAGAACAAUAUUAUCUAACUAUCUUGUUUCGAUAAAUGUGGCUACACUUUUGAUAGUCAACCUAUUCGUUUAAAGAAACCAUUCUUAGGUACAUUAAGAUUAACAAAAACAACAAAUAUAUCAAUUAUUAACAAAUAACCUAAUCAUAAGACAACAAGUUAAAUAUACAACAUAAUAUAAACAAUAUAUCAAAUAUCACAGAAAUAUAUGUAAAAGGUAUUGCAAAAAAAUAUAUUUAUACAGUGUUUAUCUAAUCUGAUAUACGAAAGAAACAAAACAUUGUUGAAAAUUAUAAUAUAGCCAUAGAACAAAAGCAAUGAUAAAAAAAAAAAAAAAAAAACAUUAAUAUAGUAAUACAUAUUAUAUUUAUAGAGAAUAAUUCCUAUACUCUGUUCAAAAAAACAAACGCGGCGGCAAACUAUUGCGCAUUGUAGGCGUGGCUUGGCUACAUUCACGGACCUCAAACUGCAAUGGACGUGGUCUGACCAUCGGCAACAAAAACUGGUCACCGCCGCGAGCGUUUCUUAUUUUGAACGGAGUACAUGCAAAUAGUUGUUAAUUUCUCAAAUAACAUUGUUAACAGCAAAAAUAACUGAUCAAGUUAAAUUGGGUAAGUUUAAUGUUAUGUUUAUUGCCAUAUUUUUACUUUCCCUUCUCCUUGAAUGACCCAGAUGACAAAUCAAACAUUUUUGAGUAUUUACUUACAAACUAUUAUAACCAGUGACCAGUUACAAUAUGUAGUUUGUCCAGUAACUGUGUUUAAUCAAGAGGCUCUUAUGUUUUUAGUGGUCAGCCUCAUUGACUACACCAACGAAAUUUAACAGUAUUAAGGAAAACCAGGCCCAAUGAGACACUAGGAUUGUCAGGCUAUGACCUCAUCAACUAUACUCUUAGAUAUAUGAUGUGCACAUAUGGCAUGGUACAUGCAAUAAUUUAUUGAUGAAAUACAAGAAGGACAAAGAAAUAAUAACAAUAUAAGUAAUGGCUAGUGACUGGGUACCAAGGUCUCAGUACCAAUCAAUAAGAAAAAUACAAAAUAUGAAUAAUAACCCAGAAUACGAAAUGAGUAAAUACUAAAUAAUAAAUAAUAUUAUCAGCACGU